rnacentral:rRNA from 1 species
GCCCGAUCUCGUCCGAUCUCAGAAGCCAAGCAAGACGGGCCUGGUCAGUACCUGGAUGGGAGACUGCCUGGGAAUCCCAGGUGAUAUAAGCCUU